rnacentral:rRNA from 1 species
AGCGAACGCUGGCGGCAGGCCUAACACAUGCAAGUCGAACGAACCUUUCGGGGUUAGUGGCGGACGGGUGCGUAACACGUGGGAACGUGCCCUUAGGUUCGGAAUAACUCAGGGAAAGGUGUGCUAAUACCGAAUGUGCUCUUCGGGGGAAAGAUUUAUCGCCUUUGGAGCGGCCCGCGUCUGAUUAGCUAGUUGGUUGGGGUAAUGGCUAACCAAGGCGACGAUCAGUAGCUGGUCUGAGAGGAUGAUCAGCCACAUUGGGACUGAGACACGGCCCAAACUCCUACGGGAGGCAGCAGUGGGGAAUCUUGCGCAAUGGGCGAAAGCCUGACGCAGCCAUGCCGCGUGAAUGAUGAAGGUCUUAGGAUUGUAAAAUUCUUUCACCGGGGACGAUAAUGACGGUACCGGGAGAAGAAGCCCCGGCUAACUUCGUG